rnacentral:rRNA from 1 species
UAGGGAAUCUUCCACAAUGGACGCAAGUCUGAUGGAGCAACGCCGCGUGAGUGAAGAAGGUCUUCGGAUCGUAAAGCUCUGUUGUUGGUGAAGAAGGAUAGAGGCAGUAACUGGUCUUUAUUUGACGGUAAUCAACCAGAAAGUCACGGCUAACUACGUGCCAGCAGCCGCGGUAAUACGUAGGUGGCAAAGCGUUGUCCGGAUUUAUUGGGCGUAAAGCGAGCGCAGGCGGAAUGAUAAGUCUGAUGUGAAAGCCCACGGCUCAACCGUGGAACUGCAUCGGAAACUGUCAUUCUUGAGUGCAGAAGAGGAGAGUGGAACUCCAUGUGUAGCGGUGGAAUGCGUAGAUAUAUGGAAGAACACCAGUGGCGAAGGCGGCUCUCUGGUCUGCAACUGACGCUGAGGCUCGAAAGCAUGGGUAGCGAACAGGAUUAGAUACCCUGGUAGUCCAUGCC